AAGACGCGAUAACCAGCCCACCACGGCACGUUGUGAGGUCACCCACAGGCUUGACUUUCGAUUGUGAGCCUUGACGCCGAGCAAGCACAAUGCGUGUCGCAAAUGUUCCUAACCAGGCAACGCUGCCAGGACCGUGGAACGACACGCGCUCAACAGUCAGGUUCGGGCGGAGACAGAGUUCUGGUAUGAUCCUCUUGCGACGAGCCGGCUUCUGGCCAACAUCCGAUGCUCAGGUCUCCCGCAUGUGCCGCGGGAGAUCGCCUUGACGGUCUGGAUCUUUCACGAGUCCUCUCAGUCGGGCAACGGAUAGAGUGGUGUAAAGUCCAAGCCCAUCGGUCACGUCUCGAAACACGGGCCAAGGAGUAUAGCAUGUGUGCAAGUCUAAGAGUCUCACAAAACUCGAAGGCGAAGUGAAAGCAAGUAAGCGGCGGGUGAUCUACGGAGAGAUCCCGUCAGCUAGAGGGGCCCUUGGGCCUCUCCGGCUUUGGCAGAGUUGAUCCUGCAGUGGUACCGCACACGUACGCUCAGGCGCAAACUCCAGGCUCACGUUUCGCACUGGUUCUCGGACUGUGCUGUGAGCACUGUGGAGCAUGCAUGCUAUGACCCGAAAGAUAGUGAACUAUGCCUGGCGAGGGCGAAGCCCCAGGAAACUGGGGUGGAGGCCCGUAGCCGUUGUGACGUGCAAAUCC
rnacentral:rRNA from 1 species